rnacentral:lncRNA from 1 species
GUCUGGUCAAAGGGCAUUCCUUCUUGCUGAGGGCUUUGCAGCAAAAGGGUGGAACCAAGCUGGGGAAGAGACAGAGAUGUUGAGAAGCUGUGCCAAGUCCAUGGUGAAUCUUUCCCUCUUGUAUUGUUCAGGGAUUCAAAUCAUCACUGAAGGUAAAAGCCCUCACAGACAUGAGGACACCAAAGUCCUUCAGAGCAUGGCCAUAGGGAGUUUAAUCAGAUGAACACUUUGCUGAGGACUCACAGGAAUACCUCAUUCUGACAAUACUCAGUGUUUGUCAUUCACCAGAUAACACCAAGCUAAACACCUUCACCCAAAAGAUCCUGCAUGUAUCACAUCCCAGUGUACCCUGGGAUGGAAAAUAGCAGUGCAAAUACACCCAGUUCUUAGCAAAGAGGUUUCAAAAGAUGGGAUGAUCCAACCAAACAGCUUGCUGUCAAGAAAAAAGGGCAGUCCCACUCAUCCCCUUCUCUUUCCUCAGGCACUGCUCUUAUCUCCUGUAAAACAGGCUAAGCACAGUGAAAUGGCCAAAUGAAUCAUCUUCUGGAGGCCUAGUGGCUUCAUGGGAGGAAUUUCACCCUCAUCCCUUUGGAAGGAAGGAUCAAGCCUGUAGGGCCACUCUGAAGUAAUUUAUCUGUGGAAGGAAGAAUCGAAACUUACAUGAUCCUCAGCUUGGCUGGAGGGACAGGUUUUCGUGCAAGAUUUUCAUGAAAUUGGAAGCAGUCUAAAAUUUUCAUUUGACAGUGUUUGGCUGUUUAAUUGAUUUUUUGAGAGUUACCUAGGGCUCUAACUAAAAGAGAGAGAAAUGAAUGAAGAGGAUCUUAUCUGCUUGUCUGUCCAUGAGUUGUCUGAUGAAAAGAUGAGAGGUGUGACCCAAGUGCAUUUUUGGGUGACGUGUUAAAGCAAAGUUCUGACCACCUUGCUCAUUAAAAAUCCCACUGCAGUAAUUAUGUUUGUAGUGUGUGUUAACUCUGAUGGCCUCAACUUGUAAAGCAAGGGGGUAUUUCAUAAGAUGAAAGGUAGUAUAAAAAUGUAAA